CAGUGUUCACUAGUAUUGACUGCUGAUUACACUUAGACCAAUUAAAUAUUUUUUUUCGUGGUUCUUGAUCGUUUUGUAUUUGUAGCACCAUCAUGAAGUUUUUCUGUAGGGGUAACUGGUGACUUUUCAAGUCCACUGCUAGUUGUUGGUUUCACUGGAGUACCAUGAUUUUGGCGUUGAGAUGAAGAUUGAGUUGUUGUGAAUUUGGUGAUUUGUUGUUGAUCGGAGUUUUUGUUUGGAAUU
rnacentral:lncRNA from 1 species